rnacentral:rRNA from 1 species
CGGGAGACACACGGCGGGUGCUAACGUCCGUCGUGGAGAGGGAAACAACCCUGACCGACAGCUAAGGCCCCCAAUUCGUGGCUAAGUGGGAAAGGAUGUGGGACUCCCAAAACAACCAGGAGGUUGGCUUAGAAGCAGCCACCCUUUAAAGAAAGCGUAAUAGCUCACUAGUCGAGUCGGCCUGCGCGGAAGAUAUAACGGGGCUCAAACUGUACACCGAAGCUACGGGUUCAUCGAAUGAUGAGCGGUAGAGGAGCGUUCUGUAAGCCGUCGAAGGUGAACUGAGAAGUUUGCUGGAGGUAUCAGAAGUGCGAAUGCUGACAUGAGUAGCGAUAAAGGGGGUGAAAGGCCCCCUCGCCGUAAGCCCAAGGUUUCC